rnacentral:lncRNA from 1 species
CUUGAAUUUAUUUUCUGAAUCAGAAAGAUGAUGAAUUAUAACAACAGCAGCAGCAGAUAAUAAACCACCAAGAAAGUUGAAUUGCAAAACAAUUCACUUGAAUUUAUUUUAUGGAUGAGAAAAUUCUCAAGUCCACUAACAAAUCAGGCAGCCCAACUUUCUCAAAAACAAAAGGCACUAGUUAACCACCUGUUUCCUUCUCAAGAGACAACAGACAAGUUCUCCCAAUCCAUGAAGUUCUAACAGAAGUCUCUGAAGAGACAUCCUCAUCUAUCAAGUUACUCAAUACUUCUUCCCCUUUUACUCCGUCGCUAUCUGUGUGGUAGCUUUUGUGAUAGUGGUCAACAUGGUCCAAUGCGAAGUAGAACAACCUUAAAAGCAGGAUAUAUCUUAGGAAAAGUAUCUCAGUGCACAAGGCUCAUCACUGCAGGGUUUGUUGAGGGUGAGAUGUACCCGCAUGCAGAGAGACUGUUUCCAUGUUUUGAACAUGUAUCACCAAGGUCACAAUAGAGCAACCUUAUCCUUGCACCAAGGCCCGCCCUCACAUGAAACAUAAUGUAGAAAUAAAUCAAUACAAAAAUGCAUCCUAAGUUCACAUUGAUGAGAUUAAGUUUAUAUACAGUUUCGAAGUCCAUGUUUUCAUAUAAAACAACAGAGUUUCUGAUUUUCUAUUAUGAAAACACAUAAUCACCGUAAAAACAAAGAGAUGCUAGAACAUUGAGUAGAUGAACCAGACCUUGUAAGGCUUCAUUUUAAUUUCUUUCUCAAACUAAGUGCCUAUAUUUACUUCACUGGAAUUUUUUGUCAGAAACACAGCAUAUCAUAUUAAUAUAUUGUCUGGAGUUUUUUUUUUUUUUUUUGUUGCAGUUACCUAUGUUACCAACAUAACCUAUUGCACUCAAUAGGCAGCCAUCAUUCUUGAUGUUGUUCUGAAUCUCGGGUAAAAGAAUGUUGACAACUCUUAAAAAACUAUGAGUAAUAUGUUGAAUCCAAGAUUCGCCGUGCCAGUAUCGGAGCCCGGACCAAUCGGCCAGCAGUAUGGUUCUGUAUGCCCCCAUGCCGUUCUGUACCAAGCCUGAACCAACACAAAGAGAGACAAAAGGAGAAUGGGAGAGGAAGAGAGAGGGAGAAGAAGAGGGAGAGAGAGUCUUUGGAUGCUGUCGGAGGGUAGCCGAGCUCGGUGGAACCUGAAGGAAGAGGGAGGGAGGGAAAGAGAGGGAGAAGGAGAAAAGGCCUCCAAAGGGCCAAUGAUGCCUCCACAUCUCCGCUAUGCCAGUGAAGGCCGAGGGAAGGGCUCUACCUUUCUUCCGAUUGAAACAGAGGCUUCGGCCCCUAUUUCGUUUCUUUUUUUGGAGGGGAGGGGGUUGUUAUCAUAUGAAGUCGGCAACUGAAAAUCAAAAAAAAAAAAAGAAAAGAAAAACAAUGAAGUUGGUAAUUGUCUUUUCAAUUUCAUACAAUAAACCCAAUGAAAAUACGAAAUAGGAGUCGAAACUCCUGUUUUGAUCAGGAGGAGGAUGAAACCCCUCUCCCAAUCUUCAUCAGCAUAGCGAAGGCACGGCAGCAUUGCCCCCUUUUUGCCUUUUACUGAAUCAGAAGAUAAUAAUUUUUUUUCCUCCACUGGCCCUCCGGUAGUCUCAUCUUCCUCUUCUUCCCCCUCCCUCCCUCCCCCCUUCUUCGGGUUCCGCCAAGCUCAACAGCGGCGUAGCGAGCUUGGCUGUCUUCCAGCGACCUCUAGAGGCCCUCUCUCCCUCUCCCUCUUCCUCUUUUUCCUUCCCCUUCUCUCUCUUCCUUUCUUUCCUUCUCCCUCUCCCCCUUCUCCAGAUUUCUCGUUUCAAAUGCUGAACCAUCCCAGCACGCCCCAAAUUGGAUCCAAUUCGAGGUGGUUUGGCGAACCAUGGUUGAAUCUCAUUUUCUUUUAUAUAUUUUGGUUAUCAUUCUUAUGUUUGUGUUACAGGUGUCAGGAUGUUGGUCUUUGAUAAGUUAGUUGCCUAUGGUCAUGGACCAGACUAGCUGCUAAACUACUACUUUUGUCGCCAUAGCUAUCUUAGUUUUCUUGUCCAGAUGCCCUUUUGUAAUGCUGUCCAUCAAGUUGUAUUAUUAUUUAAGACAUGGUAUGAAAUCAGACAAAGACAGGUCAAUUAAUAAGUGAAUGAAAUGCUAGAAAAUGACACAAUUUACCUUAAUUUUAUUCUUUAGGACUGUCUAAUCAUCUUAAGAUAGCAUAAUUAUUGAAAGAUUAGUUUCAGAAAUAGCCACCAUAACAUCAUCAAAGAUCAAAAAGCAGUGGAGGUCGACAUUUUUUAGACAAGAAAGAGUAGCAUGGACAAUAAGCAUCCACAUUUUUCUCAUAUACAUAUUGAUGAAGGCAAAUAAGUAUUUGAAUUACCUCAAGUGGUGUACCACAAGCAACAAGCUUGAUUUGAUUAUCACGACAGUAAUUUAAAAGAGGUUCAUAUUCCUGCCAGCGCUGAGGUGGCCAGUGAGAGGUAUAAGAUCUUAAGCCUCCGCCAUCAAUUCUGUCAUCAGAUAUUGUUUUUAUAAUGAGCAUAUUAACUGACUCAGGACUGGCUGAAUGUUUUAACUUUUAAAUCCAACUAGAUAUCUUGGAGAGUUUAUAAGAUCAUAAAGAUCAGAUAUUAUAAGACCAAGAGCUGUCAUGUCCUUUAACACUUAAUCAUCAGCCAUUUAAGUUUGUUUCU